GGCCUCCCAAUUCUUACCAUAGGCUGUGUUCUUUACACUGUAUAGAAAGAGGAAGUACAGUAAAUGCACCCAUAUACACCUCAACACAGGCCCUUUGCCUGGUCUGUGUUGUGAAUUGGGGGACAAAA